rnacentral:rRNA from 1 species
AGCGAACGCUGGCGGCAGGCCUAACACAUGCAAGUCGAACGAACUCUUCGGAGUUAGUGGCGGACGGGUGAGUAACACGUGGGAACGUGCCUUUUGGUUCGGAAUAACUCAGGGAAACUUGUGCUAAUACCGGAAUGUGCCCUUCGGGGAAAGAUUUAUCGCCAUUAGAGCGGCCCGCGUCUGAUUAGCUAGUUGGUGAG